UUGAAAAAAAAAUCGAUUACCCAAAUCAGUAACAUCAUUCAGCCCAAUAUCUCCUUCUCUCUCUCUCCUCAGAACCUUCAACGCCAAAACCUUCAACCGCCGCCGCAUCAACCACCCUUCUAAAACUCCUCCCAAGUUCUCUAUGCUCCGCAUCAACCACCCUUACAUGUUGUGUAAUUUGGUAACUCAUCAAUUCUUUCUCCCUUAAACUUUAAUUCCCGAGAAUCUGAGAUUUUUCAAGAAUAGAGAAUGAUUGGUGGUUUUGCUUAUACUCCGUACCGGCCGAAAAGAGGACAAUGGGUAUUAAGGGCAAGGAACAAGGGGAAGUAGAAAUGGGCAGAGGGGAUAUGCUAAUGGUCUAUUUCAAUUCAUGGUUGUAAGUUGUCUGUUUUUAGCAAUCGAAUUUGUUGUUAAAUUCAUAUUUUUUGCCGUUAAUUGGUGUUGUUUUGAGUAAUAUUUUCUGGGUUUGGGGAGAUUAUCUUGAUUACAAUGAACUGAUGGAAUUAAAUUUUGGGAAUUUGGUUUAAAACACGGGCUUAUUUGGGAGGAGAUGAUUUAGCGGUGAAAGAUGAUUACAAGUAGGAGUUUUUAGCCCAUUUUGCGCUGACGAGUUUGAUA